rnacentral:rRNA from 1 species
AUUGAACUCUGGCGGCAGGCCUAACACAUGCAAGUCGAACGAGUGGCGGACGGGUGAGUAAUGUCUGGGAAACUGCCUGAUGGCUGGGGAUAACUACUGGAAACGGUAGCUAAUACCGCAUACCAUCAGAUGUGCCCAUAUGGGAUUAGCUAGUUGGUGGGUUACCGGCUCACCAAGGCGACGAUCCCUAGCUGGUCUGAGAGGAUGACAAGCAACACUGGAACUGAGACACGGUCCAGACGCCUACGGGAGGCAGCAGGGGGGAAGAUUGCACAAGGGGCGAAAGCCUGAUGCAGCCAUGCCGCGUGUAUGAAGAAGGCCUUCGGGUUGUAAAGUACUUUCAGCGGGGAGGCAUUACCCGCAGAAGAAGCACCGGCUAACUCCGUGCCAGCAGCCGCGGUAAUUC